UACGUAGGGGGCAAGCGUUGUCCGGAAUCAUUGGGCGUAAAGCGCGUGUAGGCGGUUUGGUAAGUCUGCUCUGAAAGCCCGGGGCUCAACCCCGGGAGGCGGGUGGAUACUGUCAAGCUAGAGUCCGGAAGAGGCAAGUGGAAUUCCCGGUGUAGCGGUGAAAUGCGCAGAUAUCGGGAGGAACACCAAUGGCGAAGGCAGCUUGCUGGGACGGUACUGACGCUGAGGCGCGAAAGCGUGGGGAGCAAACAGG
rnacentral:rRNA from 1 species